GGGAAUGUCUUCGCACGAUGGUUCUGGAGUAGAAGAAAUACAGCAAGCGUCCCAUCCUGCGUUACCCUCUUCGGUUUACCCAGGACACUUUCACUUAUCAGUCUUCCCCAAUAUUUUGAACACGUGCAGUAUGCUGGCCACAGUUUUUCUGCAAGGCAGUUAAUGGAAUAGAAAUAUGAGAAGGAAAUCAAAGGCGAAACGAGUCCUUGACUACGAAAGUGAAGAAGAUGAAGACGGGGCUCAAAAAGUAGAUCAUGGGGCGCAGAAAAGAAGAAAACAGAUGUAUCUUGAUAAAGAGACAGUCGAAGAAAAUUCUUUAUCCUCAGUCGGCUUCCAGAAGUGGAUACGGGUUUGUUACAUAUACAGUUACAUACUGUAUAUCUUGAAACAUGUCUAUUCUAUAAUAAAUGCACC
ensembl:lncRNA